UACAGAGGUCCCAAGCGUUGUUCGGAUUCACUGGGCGUAAAGGGUGCGCAGGUGGGUUUGCAAGUUCGAUGUGAAAGCCCCGGGCUUAACCCGGGAAUGGCAUUGGAUACUGCAGAUCUGGAGGAUCGGAGGGGGGACUGGAAUUCUUGGUGUAGCAGUGAAAUGCGUAGAGAUGCGGAGGAACACCGAUGGCGAAGGCAAUCCCCUGGACCUGUACUGACGCUCAUGCACGAAAGCGUGGGAGCAAGAGGAAUACAGAGUACCG
rnacentral:rRNA from 1 species